AGAUUGAACGCUGGCGGCAGGCCUAACACAUGCAAGUCGAGCGGUAGAGAGGUGCUUGCAUCUCUUGAGAGCGGCGGACGGGUGAGUAAUGCCUAGGAAUCUGCCUAGUGGUGGGGGAUAACGUUCGGAAACGGACGCUAAUACCGCAUACGUCCUACGGGAGAAAGCGGGGGACCUUCGGGCCUCGCGCCAUUAGAUGAGCCGUAGGUCGGAUUAGCUAGUUGGUGAGGUAAUGGC
rnacentral:rRNA from 1 species